rnacentral:lncRNA from 1 species
CCCACAUUCUAAGAAAAUAUAAGAUUCCACAAAAACUUUUAAUUCAAAGCACUGACCGAAAAUGCUUAAGUCAGGUUAUUAUUACUAAGAUUCCUGAAUUUUAUAUUUCUAAUCACAACUUUAUUAUCCAUUUGAUGUAGAACUAUUGGAGUAUCACAGAAACUUUCAUGUUACCAAAAUGAAAUAUAUAGAAAUGCAUAUGAGCAAAAAU